GAUGAACGCUGGCGGCGUGCCUAAUACAUGCAAGUCGAGCGAACGGGCGAGAAGCUUGCUUCUCUGAUGUUAGCGGCGGACGGGUGAGUAACACGUGGAUAACCUACCUAUAAGACUGGGAUAACUUCGGGAAACCGGAGCUAAUACCGGAUGAUAUUUUGAACCGCAUGGUUCAAAAGUGAAAGACGGUCUUGCUGUCACUUAUAGAUGGAUCCGCGCUGCAUUAGCUAGUUGGUAAGGUAACGGCUUACCAAGGCAACGAUGCAUAGCCGACCUGAGAGGGUGAUCGGCCACACUGGAACUGAGACACGGUCCAGACUCCUACGGGAGGCAGCAGUAGGGAAACUUCCGCAAAGGGCGAAAGCCUGACGGAGCAACGCCGCGUGAGUGAUGAAGGUCUUCGGAUCGUAAAACUCUGUUAUUAGGGAAGAACAUAUGUGUAAGUAACUGUGCACAUCUUGACGGUACCUAAUCAGAAAGCCACGGCUAACUACGUG
rnacentral:rRNA from 1 species